rnacentral:rRNA from 1 species
AUGGCUUCCAGCGUGCGGCAGCCAUGGCCCCUCCUCCUGAUCGUCCUCCUCCCGUCCUUGGCCACGGCGACGGUGUUCGACGACAACUACGUGCCCUCGUGGGGCGCAGACGGCUACCACCUCGUCGACCAGGGCACGGAGACCCGUCUCACCAUGGACAGAACCUCCGGCGCAGGGUUCCGCUCCAGGUCGACGUACGGGUCGGGGUUCUUCCACAUGAGGAUCAAGGUGCCCGGGGGGUACACGGCCGGAGUCAUCACAGCCUUCUAUCUGGCGUCGGAAGCACCUUAUGAUGGCAGUGACCGCGACGAGGUGGACUUCGAGUUCCUGGGCAACGUGGACGGCGAGAACAUCACCCUGCAGACCAACGUCUUCGUCAACGGCGACGGCGACAGGGAGCAGAGGCUCAACCUGUGGUUCGACCCGGCAGCCGACUUCCACGAGUACAAGAUACUCUGGAACCCGUACCAGCUCGUGAUAUUGGUGGACGAUGUGCCGAUACGGGUGCUGAGGAACCUGACGGGGCAGGUGCCGGAGUACGAGUUCCCGGCGAAGCAGAUGGGCGUGCGGGCGAGCCUGUGGGACGGCUCCGACUGGGCGACGGACGGCGGCAGGAUCAAGAUCGACUGGGGCCGCGCGCCCUUCGCCGCGGGGUUCCAGGGCUUCGACGUGGACGCCUGCGCCAACACCAGCUCCACGCCGUGCGACUCGACGGACCUCUGGUGGAACGCCCGCAGGCACAGGCGGCUGUCCGUCCGGGAGCAGGCGGCCUACGAGCACGUCCGGAGGACGUACAUGAACUACGACUACUGCGCCGACAAGGAUGGGUUCCAGAACGGCAAGGUGCCGGUUGAGUGCAGCUACACUACUUAG